GACAAGAUGGCCGAGACCUCAAACGCCUCAGCAGAGCCCGAGCUCAUUUAUUUUGAGGUGACAAGUAACGAAGAACGUUUUGUGCAUAUGGUAUUCCAAAUGGCCAGCAACACCACAAAUCAAUUCCUUAUUUUUGUAAAAGACGAUGAGACCUGUUUUCGUGCUCAACGUGCACUUUAUUCAUCCGGUGAGAUGACGCAGUGCUUUCUGAAGAAUAUGAAUAAAGAUGCCUUCAAAAAAAGGAAACAGGAAUUGAAAAAUGGAACGGCUAAAGUUUGGAUUGCUGAUAGAUCUGUUAUUGGAAAAUUGGUGGAUUGUUUUUCGAAAGAGCUGACCGUGUUUUUGUAUGAUGGAAUUUCGAAUGAUUUUCCAAAACAGUAAGUUGUAAUUUUUUAAGGUUUUGGAUAGGUAGGUCGUUAGGCGUACGUGCGUACCUGCCUGCCUACAAAGGUUUAUGUUCUGACGGUAGGCGUCCACAGGACAGACGAAAGAUGUUUUGAAGGCAGGUAGGUAGAUAUAAAGUGCAUUACUAAGUAGGUGUAGGCACAUGGCAAGCGAAGAUUGCCUUGCGAGUAGACGGGUAGGCUAAUUCGUUAUUAAGUGUAGGCGCCAGGCAAGUGUAGGCACUCUCUCUCUCUGAGACAAAUGCGUAGGCAUUCUGUACCUUCUUGUAAAGCUUACCCUAAACAUUUACUUUUUGCAGAGCCGUCGGUAAAUGUCAUUCUGUGAUAUCUCUCAAGCAAAGUAGGCAUACUGCUGUUAACACCUCGGACGGAUUAUUUGAGCAAGUUUUUCACAUUUGCCAACUGUACAAUGCGACUUUCACAUCACCGAUCAAGGAUUGGAUGGCCAGCUCAAAA
rnacentral:sRNA from 1 species